CGCACAUUGCGCCCUUUGGUAUUCCGAAGGGCAUGCCUGUUCGAGCGUCAUUAUCACCCCUCAAGCCCGGCUUGCUGUUGGUGGCGGCGCGGCCUCCGGGCCCUGCCCCGCCCAAAGAUAAUGACGGCGUCUGUGAGGACUCCUGUACACUGAGCUUUCGGGCACGUACACGGCUUAGGACUUCAGGCGCCGGUCGACGUUUCUGCCCCGCAGAAACACCCUUUUUUACCAAGGUUGACCUCGGAUCAGGUAGGGAUACCCGCUGAACUUAA
rnacentral:misc_RNA from 1 species